rnacentral:lncRNA from 1 species
UCGCAUUUUCCUCUUUGCCAUGGUGAGUACUUCAAGCUCAAAUACUUUACUUGACAUCCUUUCUUUGCUUUAUUUAGAAUUGUUAUAAUGAACUUCCCCUUGCUUGUAGGCCCUUUCACCUGGAUGCUCUGCAGGACCACGAACUGCCAAAGAGUCCCCCUUCAUCACCGAUUGGGGGAGAGCUCCCUUCUUUGGUCCUUCUAACAUCUUUUGGGAUUAAAGUGUAAGACCCCGAAUUUUUUUUUAAUAAAAUUGAAUUUUUCCUCUAUUCAUUAUUCUAAAUUAAUAAGGUGUUAAUUGGAUAUAAUGCUUUGGUUAUGGGUGAAAUGUGUAAAUUUUGUAAAAUAAGCAAGUGGUUAUAAAAUAUUCAUUUCUGUCGGGGAAUAUUCGUUUGGUCGUGGAAUAUUCUUUUUGUCGAGAAUAUUCGUACGACGGCGCAGUCAUUUGUGGGCCCCAUAACGGAAUAACUGUCGGAUGAAGAAAAGGACAAGUUUGAGUUUUUAUAAAUAACGGCGUAGUUGUUACCGUUAACACUGUUGGAUUACCU